AUGGAGGCAGCAGUGAGGAAUCUUGCGCAAUGGGCGAAAGCCUGACGCAGCAACGCCGCGUGUGUGAUGAAGGUCUUCGGAUCGUAAAGCACUGUCGGGAGGGACGAAUAAGGCGGCGGCUAACAUCCGCAGCCGAUGACGGUACCUCCAAAGGAAGCACCGGCUAACUCUGUGCCAGCAGCCGCGGUAAUACAGAGGGUGCUAGCGUUGUUCGGAAUUAUUGGGCGUAAAGCGCGUGUAGGCGGCCUUGCAAGUUGGGUGUGAAAGCCCUCGGCUUAACCGAGGAAGUGCGCCCAAAACUACAGGGCUUGAGUACCGGAGAGGGUGGCGGAAUUCCCGGUGUAGAGGUGAAAUUCGUAGAUAUCGGGAGGAACACCAGUGGCGAAGGCGGCCACCUGGACGGAUACUGACGCUGAGACGCGAAAGCGUGGGUAGCAAACAGGAUUAGAUACCCUGGUAGC
rnacentral:rRNA from 1 species